UGGUGCCUUCGGGAACCCUGAGACAGGUGCUGCAUGGCUGUCGUCAGCUCGUGUUGUGAAAUGUUGGGUUAAGUCCCGCAACGAGCGCAACCCUUAUCCUUUGUUGCCAGCGGUCCGGCCGGGAACUCAAAGGAGACUGCCAGUGAUAAACUGGAGGAAGGUGGGGAUGACGUCAAGUCAUCAUGGCCCUUACGAGUAGGGCUACACACGUGCUACAAUGGCGCAUACAAAGAGAAGCGAACUCGCGAGAGCAAGCGGACCUCAUAAAGUGCGUCGUAGUCCGGAUCGGAGUCUGCAACUCGACUCCGUGAAGUCGGAAUCGCUAGUAAUCGUGGAUCAGAAUGCCACGGUGAAUACGUUCCCGGGCCUUGUACACACCGCCCGUCACACCAUGGGAGUGGGUUGCAAAAGAAGUAGGUAGCUUAACCUUCGGGAGGGCGCUUACCACUUUGUGAUUCAUGACUGGGGUGAAGUCG
rnacentral:rRNA from 1 species